rnacentral:rRNA from 1 species
UUCCAGCUCCAGUAGCGUAUAUUAAUGUUGUUGCAGUUAAAAAGCUCGUAGUUGGAUUUCUGACUUGACGCGCCUGGCCCGCCUUGCAUUUCGCGGGUGAGUGCCGGAGCGCGUCGGUCAUCCUUCUAGAGAACGGCGCUACCCUUCACUGGGUCGGCGUCGCAAUCUAGAUCUUUUACUUUGAAAAAAUUAGAGUGUUCAAGGCAGGCUCGCGCUGUGAAUACAUUAGCAUGGAAUAAUAAUCUAGGACUUUGUUCCUAUUUUGUUGGUUUCUAGGAAUUAAGUAAUGAUUGAUAGGGAUAGUUGGGGGUGCUAGUAUUCAGCGGCCAGAGGUGAAAUUCUUGGAUUCGCUGAAGACUAACUUAUGCGAAAGCAUUCACCAAGGAUGUCUUCAUCA